rnacentral:rRNA from 1 species
CGGGCCCGCACAAGCAGCGGAGCGUGUGGUUUAAUUCGAUGCUACACGAAGAACCUUACCAGGGUUUGACAUGCAAGUGGUAGGAAACCGAAAGGUGACCGACCCUUCGGGGAGCUUGCACAGGUGCUGCAUGGCUGUCGUCAGCUCGUGUCGUGAGAUGUUCGGUUAAGUCCGCUAACGAGCGCAACCCUCGCUGUGUGUUAUAUGUGUCACACGGGACUGCCGGUCUUAAGCCGGAGGAAGGUGGGGAUGAUGUCAAGUCAGCAUGGCCUUUAUAUCCUGGGCUACACACACGCUACAAUGGCCAGCACAGUAGGUUGCUAAGCCGCGAGGUGGAGCCAAUCCAUAAAGCUGGUCUCAGUUCAGAUUGCAGGCUGCAACCCGCCUGCAUGAAGAUGGAGCUGCUAGUAACCGCAGGUCAGCUAUACUGCGGUGAAUACGUUCCCGGGCCUU